rnacentral:lncRNA from 1 species
AAGUUCACAAUGGUUUGAAAGACACGUUCUCACCAAUACGUUGAGGAUGACGCUCCGGCUACUCAACAAUCUAUUGCAGACCUUCAAGAAAAAGUCACAAACCUUGUUGCUGCUGUUGCCGCUUUAAUAACGCAGCAGGCCACCCCAGAUAAUCACCAUUAACGCAACGACCAGUUAUCUGUCCACAACGAUUCCGAAGAUGCC